rnacentral:rRNA from 1 species
GCCCACGACGCCUUGCUUAGCCACACCCUCAAGGGUAGUCAGCAGUGAUAGACCUUAAGCCAUAAGUGAAAACUUGACUUAGUCAAAGCUAAGAGGGUCGGUAAAACUCGUGCCAGCCACCGCGGUUAUACGAGAGACCCAAGUUGAUAUACCCCGGCGUAAAGAGUGGUUAAGGAAAAACUAACACUAAAGCCGAACGUCUUCAAUACUGUUAUACGCAUCCGAAGAUAAGAAGAACAACUACGAAAGUGGCUUU